UUCCAAGUAGCCACCUUCUAUUGAGAUCGGCACAUAAGAAGAAAUGCAAACUAGUUCAACCCUUCUAUUUUGUAGAUGAGGAAAUGGAGGCAAAACAAGUUCAAGGAGAGGGAACUUCCACUCAACUUCUUGAUGAGGAAAUGGUGAGAUUCUACAAGGGCAUAAGGACUGAGAGAUGUGGUUACGACCAUCUUUGAAAAACAAAAUCUGCCACAUUCUUCAAAACAACUGGAAGCUGCAAAACAUAUCCUCCUAACAAAAUCUUCCGGGAGAGAUUUGUGAAAGGAGGUCAAAACAGAGUGAGUGGGGACUUGAACCCUGCCAUCGCCUCCAGGAUCCUCUCAGGAACUCAAGUUUCCAAAAAAGUUUGAAAAUCCCAAGGAAACUCCCAACGAGACAGCUCCCAGUGACAGGGGAACAGAGAGGAAGAGCGGAGUGACUCAUCAGAGCCCCACCCAGGCUGCAUGCCCGGCUGCUCCAACAUCAGCCUGAGGCUUCCACCCAGCUCUGUCUGCCUGAACGUCACUUCCCAGGACGCCUGACGUAUUCCUUGCGUGGUGACUUUGAUAUGAACACUACAAAAAGAGGGGUUUAAAAAUAGCCACCUUGUCAUGUGGAAUAGGGAGAAGAGAUAACCCAUCCCCACGCAAAGGAAUGAGGUAGAGAGUCACCCAAGACUUCUUGGAGCUGUGCCCGUCAACACCACUCCCUCCUCUACACCUUGCACCUGAU